UUAAGUAAAUAAGGGUUUACGGUGGAUGCCUUGGCACAAAAAGCCUAAGAAGGACGUAACAGUCUGCGAUAAGCCUCGGAUAGCUGACAAUAAGCGAUUUAAUCCGGGGAUUUCCGAAUGGGGAAACCCAUCUUGAGUCAUAUCAAGAUACUCCUGGUUGAAUACAUAGACCAGGUAGAGGUAAGCUAGUGAACUGAAACAUCUUAGUAACUAGAAGAAAAGAUGCAAUUAUGUAUUCCCAAAGUAGUGGCGAGCGAAAUGGGAGUAGCCCAAACUUCACAGGUAGGGAGGGACAAUGGAGCCUGCUUUGCGGGCAAUAUUGUCAAUCCGUCGUUACAGCGAUGGUUGCAGUGAAGGGUUGUAGGGUGUAGCGUUCGUGCUCUGUAAGACACGGAAAGGAGUUAACAAGAUCAUUCUUAGCAGAAUACGGUUGGAAAGCCAAACCAUAGAGGGUAAUAGUCCCGUAUGCGAAAAGUAUGGUCCUCCUUAGUUAUAUCCCUGAGUACUACGGUCUAGGAGAAAAACCGUAGGAAUCUACCACAACCACGUGGUAAGGCUAAAUACUUUUUGUGACCGAUAGUGAACCAGUACCGUGAGGGAAAGGUAAAAAGAACCCCUGAUAGGGGAGUGAAAUAGAUCCUGAAACCGUAAACUUACAAACAGUUGGAGUCCGCUUUAUGCGGAUGACAGCGUGCCUAUUGAAGAAUGAGUCUGCGAGUUAUCUUAACUGGCAAGGUUAAUCUCCUCUGGAGAGUAGCCGGAGCGAAAGCGAGUCUGAAAGGGCGAAUUAGUCUGUUGAGAUACACCCGAAACCAGGUGAUCUAUCCAUGAGCAGGUUGAAUCCCAUCGAAAGAUAGGAGGAGGACCGAACCGGUGAGCGCUGCAAAGCUCUCGGAUGACUUGUGGUUAGGGGUUAUACGCCAAUCGAACCUGGAAAUAGCUGGCUCUCCCCGAAAUAGCUUUAGGGCUAGCCUUGAUUUUUAGCUGGUGGAGGUAGAGCUCUGCCUGGAUAGCGCGGGACAGUUUGUCUUAGCGCAUCCUCGCAAACUUCGAAUGCCAUCAGUGUUAGAUCAGGAGUCAGUCAAUGGGAGCUAAGUUCCGUUAGGCAAGAGGUAAUCAUACCAGACCAUCAGAUAAGGUCCCCAAGUUCACGCUAAGUGGUAAAGGAUGUGAAGGGUCUUAUACAGCUAGGAGGUUUGCUUAGAGGCAGCAAUCCUUUAAAGAGUGCGUAACAGCUCACUAGUCUAGAAACUCUGCACCGAUAAUUCAGCGGGGCUCAAGCGUGAUACCGAUGCUGUGGUUCCAGUAAGCUCCACCCGAGCUUUCGAUCUCAGUUUUAGUUUUCUUUAUGGAUACUUUAGAGAUUGAAAGUUGCGGUGGGGCUUACUUGGAAGGUAGGGGAGCGUUGUAAACGCAGCGAAGAUGCACUGUGAGGUGUGUUGGAGCAUUUACAAGUGAGAAUGCAGACAUGAGUAGCGCAAGGUCGGUAAAAAACCGGCCCACCGUAUGAACCAGGUUUCCUUGGCCAUGUUCGUCAUCCAAGGGUUAGUCGGUCCUAAGCCGAGGCCGAAAGGCGUAGGCGAUGGAUAACAGGUUAAUAUUCCUGUACUGCUGAAAGAUCGUUAUCAGCUAUGGGGGGACCAAGGUGGAGUAUCUGUAGACCCGAUAGGUCGGGUUCCAAGCAGCAAGUUAGUUUGAUUAGGUAAAUCCGGUCAGACGUUUUCGCUCACGGGCGAAUGAAAACGAGCUGUGAUGGGAAGUUGAAGCUCACGGGCAGAGGCAACUACAGAAAUUCAACUUGCAAGAAAAUCCUCUAUGCGAGAUCUUUUGGUAACCGUACCGCAAACCGACACUGGUGUUCUGGUAGAAUAUACCAAGGUGUACGAGUGAUCCCUUGUUAAGGAAUUCGGCAUAUUAUCUCCGUAACUUCGGGAAAAGGAGACCCCUACUUUGUAGGGGCGCAGAGAAAUGGCUCAAUCGACUGUUUAACAAAAACACAGGUUCCUGCUUAAAGCGCAAGCUGAAGUAUAGGAGCUGACGCCUGCCCAAUGUCAGUAGAUUACGGAAGGGGGUUAUCCCGUAAGGGAGAAGCUUCUGACCUAAGUCCUGAUGAAUGGCGGCUGUAACUAUAACGGUCCUAAGGUAGCGAAGUUCCUCGGCGCUUAAUAGGCGUCGCGCAUGAAUGGCGUAACGAGUUGGGCACUGUCUCGACAGGGGGCUCGGCGAACAUUGAAAUGGCAGUGAAGAUGCUGCCUACCCGCAGCAGGACAAAAAGACCCCGGGAUCUUUACUGUAUCUUGUCAUUGAGAUGAGAUUUUUAUUGUAGAGUGUAGGAGGGAGACUUUGAUAUCAGGUCGCCAGAUCUGAUGGAGUCGCCAAUGUAACACCUCCCUUUAGAGAUUUCAUUUCUAACUCGGACCGUUAUCCGGUUCGGGGACAGUGCCAGGUGGGCAGUUUUACUGGGGCGGUGUCUUACUAAAGAGUACCGUAAGAUUCCAAAGGUCGGCUCAAGAUGGAUUGGAAAUCAUCUGUAGAGCACAAUAGUAUAAGCCGGCUUUACUGCGAGACUGACAGGUCGAGCAGUUACGAAAGUAGGGUAUAGUGACCCUUUGAUGGCGUGUGGAAGCGUCAUUGUUUAAAGAAUAAAAGUUACCCCGGGGAUAACAGGCUAGUCUUGCCCAAGCGUUCACAGCGACGGCAAGGUUCGGCACCUCGAUGUCGGCUCGUCGCAUCCUGGAGGUGGAGAAGCUUCCAAGGGUCGGGCUGUUCGCCCGUUAAAGCGGCACGCGAGCUGGGUUCAAACCGACGUGAGUCAGGUUGGUCUCUAUCCGCUGCAGGCGUUAGAAUUUUGAGGGAACUGACCUUCAGUACGAGAGGAUCAAGGUGAGGUAACCUCUGGUGCACCAGUUGUCCUACCAAGGGCACGGCUGGGUAGCCACGUUGCUAUUUGGAUAAACGCUGAAAGCAUCUAAGCGUGAAGCCAAUCCCAAGAUUAGAAUUCUUUCAAGACCCCCGGUAGACUACCGGGUUGAUAGCUCCUAGGUGUAAGCUCAGUAAUGAGUUCAGCCGAGGGAUGACUAAUUGGUCGUAAACUUAAACAA
rnacentral:rRNA from 1 species